UAAUUUUAGUUUCCUUCGGCCAGGAGCUUGGACACACAGGGCUCUCCCUCCCCCCCAACCCUCACUCUACGUCCAAAGUCGGGACACCCUCCUGCCACCUGUAGAGAAGAAGGAGUGGAUUUGAAAUCAAGUCCAGGUGUCUGGGGUCCCAAGACAGAACCGGACUUUGUACCCGGUGUCCUGCUACUUCUGCUGGGGCCCUCCAGCCCGCCUCCGUCCGGCGCCCGGACAAAGCAGUUGAUGGGGAUGGGGAAGAAAGAUCUCCGAUCCUCUCCUCGGGGAGACGCGGCUUUCCCGCUGAAACUAGUCCCUCCCCACCUUCCCAGAAAAAGAGCUAGGAGGGGGCCUGAGCACCCAGGGCUGCCUAGAGGCAUUCCUGGCUCAGCUUGAGGUUAUCCGUUUGAGGUUUUCCCGACUCUACCAAGACUGACGUCUCCCCGCAGGGGCGGGGGACACGCUCCAAUUUUGAAGGCGGCCGAGGAGAGGGAUCUCCUAAAUUGUUAGAGCUCGGUCUCGGAAUUGUUUGCCUGCUCAGAAUACAGGGUCCUGCCCUAGGAAGGGGAGGUAGAGGCGGGGCAGGUCCCGGGGUCCUUCUUGGCGUCGGAAUGAAGGCUGGAAGGCUAGAGGUCUGGAUGCUGGGGGGUCUGCGGUGGAGCGGGGACUAGGGAAGGUGUGUGUGUGCGUGUUUGGGGGCAGGGGGCAGUGUUUGGGAGAAAGACCCGAGUCUGGAUCUCCCUGAUACCGCGGGGAUGGAGAAUGCACCUGUCUGCCCUUGGAAGGCCUCCCAACUCUACUGCCCCUCCAGAAUGGCCUGUCUUGGUCGGCCUGUCUUAGACUGCUCGCCCCUCUCCGCCCCAUCCCCUUGGAGCUGGGGGAGCCCUCCAGGAAGGCAAGCAGCCUGUAAUGAUUAACUCCACAGACACAAUCUAGCAUUCUUCCCAAAUUAAACUUUAAGAAAUCUUACCCUCCGCCCCCCCGCCUUUCCCAUUGGGCGUUUUUUCCAGAGUUAGGGAGUGGGCGGGGCCUCAGUGUCCUGGGCCCUCCUCCCAACUCCAGGUCAUCUAGGGGUUUCCCGCCUCCUUACCUGGGCUCUGCAAGAUCACACUCCCGCAAGGUUGGACCUUCCAACCACCGCCCCCCCGC
rnacentral:lncRNA from 1 species